rnacentral:rRNA from 1 species
AAACGAACUUUAAGUUUAACUCCCCGAAACUGAUGUGAGCUACUUCGAAACAGCUAUAAGAGCCAACCCAUCUCUGUUGCAAUAGAGUGGGAAGAUUUCCAAGUAGAGGCGACAAACCUACCGCACUCAGAAAUAGCUGGUUACUCAAGAAAAGAAUCUUAGUUCAACCUUAAAUUUAUCCAAGUUUUUCCAAACGCCCAUAAAAUUUAAGAGUUAUUCAAAUAAGGCACAGCUUAUUUGAAACAGGAUACAACCUACACCACAGGGUAAUACGCCAAAACAAAAUGAUUAGUAGGCCUAAAAGCAGCCACCAUUUACAAAAGCGUUAAAGCUUUACAUUUCCUUUUUAUAAUCCCCCGCACCACUUAAAACCCUUCCCCAAUAUUGAGUAAUUUCAUAAAAAUAUGAAAGAUAUUAUGCUAGAACUAGUAACAAGAAACAACCUUUCUCCAAAAUGUAAACUUAAGCCAUAUCCGAUAAACAACUGGCAAUUAACGAAGCUGAACCUACUUUAGCAACCCACCAAGAAAACCCUAUAAAUCAAAACGUUAACCUUACACAAGAACAUUAAUGGAAAGAUUAAAAGAAAAAGAAGGAACUCGGCAAAUCUUAC